UACGAAGGGUGCAAGCGUUACUCGGAAUUACUGGGCGUAAAGCGUGCGUAGGCGGUUUGUUAAGUCCGUUGUGAAAGCCCUGGGCUCAACCUGGGAAUUGCAGUGGAUACUGGCGAGCUAGAGUGCGGUAGAGGAUGGUGGAAUUCCCGGUGUAGCGGUGAAAUGCGUAGAGUAUCGGGAGGAACACCCGUGGCGAAGGCGGC
rnacentral:rRNA from 1 species